rnacentral:lncRNA from 1 species
GAAUAGUCCCUAAGGAAAUAAUCGGGAAUGUGUACGGGUCUUGAGCACUCGGGAUGCCCACCACAGGACUGUUUGUGCCAGCAAAGGAUUGCAAGCAACCUUCAAUGUCCAACAAUGCAGGAUCGGUUGAAAGAAAUACUCAGGACCUUCUCGUGAAGCCACUGAGAAGUAAUCAUGGAUCGGAGCCUUGGCUGCGGUUCUCCCUGGAGCAGGCUCAGGACUCAGAUGCAGAAAAAGCCCGGCUCAUGGAAGACAAGCUUAUUUCUUCGCUUCGGGAUGCCCGUUGAUGUACUGAUGUGCACUGGGUGAGUCCCCAAGCCCUUGACUGUGCACCUGCCCUGGUUUUGUCCUCCCGAGGCACACCCGUUAGUGGCUCUGGAGACAUCGGUGCCUUCCAGAACAGAGCCGGGGAAAUGCCGUCACAGUGGUGUCCUUAGGAACAUGGGGAAAUGGAGAGGCAGAUUCCCAGGGUCAUGGGUGCAAAAUGCCCCCAUGUUCUUAAUGUGUGCGAAAAGAAACUGACCAGCUUUCCUCUGGGAAAAGUGUCCUCACCCCAUCACCCCAGGAGAGGCCUGUCCGAGGUCACUGAAGGCAGCACUGCGAUACUGCUGCACAAAAAAAAAAAAAAAAGCAAAUCCAGAAGCAAUCUAAAAGCCCAUCACAUGGGGAAUGACUAAAUAAAAGCUGAUAGAUCCACGCUCAGGAAUACCGCCCGGCAGUAAGAACGAACGACGUACAGCUAUCAGUACCAACGUGGAGAAAACCCCAAGACUAAUAGUUAGGUGACAAAAUCCAAGGACAGAACAAUACAUACUGUGUGAUACCGUUUCUGCUGAAGAAAAACACAUCCGAACACACUAACAAUACACCCAUGGAUCCCCACGUGCACAGAUAUAAAUGCGUGUGUGCCCUCGGAUCAAGAGGGGUGCACGUCACAGCCGCAGCUGGGGCCCUGCUGGCGGGAGAGGCCCACAGGACCGUAGCGCAGUCUGUCUCCUGCCGACGAGAAUGCCUUCCCCUGUGCCUGGUGUGCAAUUAAAUAAAUGAAAAUGUGUUAAAAGAAGGAAAAGGGAG